rnacentral:misc_RNA from 1 species
GUUAAAAUGAGAACUCUGUUAACAUUUUCAAAAAUUAUUCGAAUAAUAAUCUUUUACUUAUUCGGUUAUAAAAUAAGUAGGUAAAUAAUAAAGUUAAAUAGUCAAAAGGUAAAUUAAGUAAAGGAUACCUUACUUUAUGACUUACUAACUUAUUUUAAGUAGUUUUUUAACUUAUAAGUCAAAUAUACUCGUAACUUUUUAUAGUUACAAGUAUAUUUGACUAUUUUAUGAGCCAAAUCAAACACGAUCUUAGCUGCUUUUAAUGUAUCAUCUAUACUCACUUUCACACCAAUAAUUCCAACAUAAAACAUCAAUAAUUGAUUCAACUUGCUCCUAGCGCAAGGGAAAUUCACUCAAGAUAUAUUUUAUGACGAGAAAAUUUAUGUACUCUUAAAAUGUUGUUCUUACAAAAAUUAUAUAUUGUCCAUCUGAUAAAGUAACCACCAAAUUUCACCAACAAACAUAGCAAACUCUUAUCUUACCUUAUAUGAGCCUGCACACACAAUGAAAUAUGAGGCGCUCCAGCUCCAGAACAAUCUAUCAACGAUUUCCUUUGAGGCACCGACCAACCAUAUGCUGAAGAAAGACCCUACUUAGACUUUUUUUGCAAAAAUGAUCGCCUUGUUGAGAGCGGAAAGAUUAUCUCACAAAGAUUGUGAAAAUAUCCUUUAUCGUACAUGUUUCUCUUAACAACCACUUCAACAUCUUCAAGAGGGGAUCUUUGGAAAAAGGCUUUACAUUUGCUUGCUGGACGCUUUGCUUCGCUACUCAUCCCACUGAUGCUUGCUUUAAGUGCUGCAGCGCUAGCUCUUGCUUCACUUAGCUUCCUUUGCCAGUUUAUGUACUCUUGCCACUUGAAGGUCUCGUUUGUUGUGGUGUUCAUGAGACACAGGUUGGCAUGGUAUCCGAUAAAUCCUGCCAAUAAGAGAGAAACUAUGGCAAGAAACACCAUAAGAAGUAUUUGAGAGUUAUAUGAGCCCAACAGCCACUGAACAACAUGCGGAGCUAAACUACGGAAUGAAUUUUCAAUGCCAUAGUAAACUGUCAGAAUAUAUAUGACCCUUAAUUCUUUCAACCGCCCUGCAAGAACCAAACCUAGUGCGAUUGUUCCAUAUACACAAAGAAGGAAAUGCCAUAACAAAAAAGCUAAGAAGUAUCGGGUAUUUCUCUCCCCUAUACAAUUAUUCAUCCAUCCACAAUGAUGGUCAAACCGCGCAACACAGCGAUCACAUAUGCUGCAGUGCUUGGACCGAGCAGGUUUGGGAAUUUUACAAGUAGAACAUUCUUUCUCUGCAUAUAUGAUAUUGUCAUAUGGAUAGGCAGAGAGAUAUUCUGAGACAUUAUCAACAUUCACAGUUCCCGGAUCAGAAAAGCUAGUCAAUAGAAAGAGUAGAACACCAACAGCAACUGCCAAAAAGCUUGUGUACCUGUGGAUUUCACUUAAAUAAUACCCAGGAAUAUAGGUAAAAGAUGAAGUUACAAUGAAGUAAUAAGUUCCUCCAAUAAUUGCCAAAUACAAAACCUGCAACGUAGGGUUAGGGCGAUCACAGCAAAAAUGCUCAAUGGAGAGAAUGAAAUUCGUGCCCUUACUCCCAAACACGGUCCCUAUAAAACGCCUGAAGAAAAACUCCAAAUAAAACAUCAAAAGAAGUGAAACGGAAUCGGCCCUCCUAUCAAACAGUGUUUGUACAGAAAGAAAAAAGGGAAAGGAGGGAGAAUUGAGAGAGGGAAGGCCUACAGGAAGUAUUCGUAGGCUCCAAAGGUGAGGAAGUAGUGGAGGCGCUCGAUGGGAGUGCCCUGGAAGAUAGGCCAUUGGCCGCAGAGGAAGGAGACCAACGCUAGCAGUGUGGCCAGUCCGUGGCAUGCCAGAACCCAAUGCUCUGCCAUCGUUUAUCUUUAAAGAUUCGAGAAUGAAAAAACUUUUAGAGAUGGAGAAUUUGGGAGAUGGGCUCUUGCGGUUGGGAAAUUCAGGAAGGGGC